rnacentral:rRNA from 1 species
GACGAACGCUGGCGGCGUGCUUAACACAUGCAAGUCGAACGGAAAGGCCCUGCUUUUGUGGGGUGCUCGAGUGGCGAACGGGUGAGUAACACGUGAGUAACCUGCCCUUGACUUUGGGAUAACUUCAGGAAACUGGGGCUAAUAACGGAUAGGAGCUCCUGCUGCAUGGUGGGGGUUGGAAAGUUUCGGCGGUUGGGGAUGGACUCGCGGCUUAUCAGCUUGUUGGUGGGGUAGUGGCUUACCAAGGCUUUGACGGGUAGCCGGCCUGAGAGGGUGACCGGCCACAUUGGGACUGAGAUACGGCCCAGACUGCUACGGGAGGCAGCAGUGGGGAAUAUGGCACAAUGGGCGGAAGCCUGAUGCAGCAACGCCGCGUGCGGGAGGACGGCCUUCGGGUUGUAAACCGCUUUCGCCUGUGACGAAGCGGGAGUGACGGUAAUGGGUAAAGAAGCACCGGCUAACUACGUG